UACGUAGGGGGCAAGCGUUGUCCGGAUUUAUUGGGCGUAAAGAGCGUGUAGGCGGUUUGGUAGGUCCGCGGUGAAAACUCGAGGCUCAACCUCGAGACGCCGGUGGAAACCAUCAGACUAGAGUCCGGAAGAGGAGAGUGGAAUUCCUGGUGUAGCGGUGAAAUGCGCAGAUAUCAGGAAGAACACCCGUGGCUAAGGCGGCUCUCUAGUACGGUACUGACGCUGAGCCGCGAAAGCGUGGGGAGCGAACAGG
rnacentral:rRNA from 1 species